GAUGAACGCUGGCGGCGUGCUUAAUACAUGCAAGUCGAGCGAAGCACUUUAACGGAAUUCUUCGGAAGGAAGGUAAAGUGACUGAGCGGCGACGGGUGAGUAACGCGUGGGUAACCUGCCUUAUACAGGGGGAUAACAGUUAGAAAUGGCUGCUAAUACCGCAUAAGCGCACAGGACCGCAUGGUCUGGUGUGAAAAACUCCGGUGGUAUAAGAUGGACCCGCGUCUGAUUAGCUGGUUGGUGGGGUAACGGCCCACCAAGGCGACGAUCAGUAGCCGGCCUGAGAGGGUGAUCGGCCACAUUGGGACUGAGACACGGCCCAA
rnacentral:rRNA from 1 species